GACGAACGCUGGCGGCGUGCCUAAUACAUGCAAGUAGAACGCUGACUACUUUAGCUUGCUAGAGUAGAAGGAGUUGCGAACGGGUGAGUAACGCGUAGGUAACCUGCCUACUAGCGGGGGAUAACUAUUGGAAACGAUAGCUAAUACCGCAUAACAGUGUUUAACACAUGUUAGAUGCUUGAAAGAUGCAAUUGCAUCACUAGUAGAUGGAUCUGCGUUGUAUUAGCUAGUUGGUGGGGUAACGGCCCACCAAGGCGACGAUACAUAGCCGACCGGAGAGGGUGAUCGGCCACACUGGGACUGAGACACGGCCCAGACUCCUACGGGAGGCAGCAGUAGGGAAUCUUCGGCAAUGGGGGCAACCCUGACCGAGCAACGCCGCGUGAGUGAAGAAGGUUUUCGGAUCGUAAAGCUCUGUUGUAAGAGAAGAACGUGUGUGAGAGUGGAAAGUUCACACAGUGACGGUAACUUACCAGAAAGGGACGGCUAACUACGUGCCAGCCGCCGCCGUAA
rnacentral:rRNA from 1 species